AAGACAACCGCCACGUCCACGGGGCGCGCCAGCAAGGUCGCUCGGAUAAACUCCAGCCCUGAACAGAAAGCGAAAAGACCAACAAAGGUUUUCUUCCUUGUAUUUCACUCCAUCCAUCAUCCAUUCAACUCCGACCAACUUCUCGUCAGACCGGAGAGAAAUCACAUGUGGUGUAUCCCAAGGUUCAGUACUAGGGCCCCUCCUAUUUUAUAUCUAAAUACUCUUGCUAGCUCCGUUUUGAACAAGUAAUAAGAAACCAUAACUAUAAUGCAGAUGGUACAUGUCUCUACAUUAUGUUGUCACCAGGUGAACCCUUUCAAAUACUGAACAGAAGAAAUCAAACAGAAGGGGAAAAAGGAAAAAGGUGAAAGAGAAAAAAAAGAAAUGCAUGUUUUACCAUGGGAAUGGUGUGCUAGAGGUUUGGUGCUGAGUUAAUUUUCCCUUUGAACAUGGUGUGUUACCAAAACCAGAUCACUUCUGGUCUCAUCUAAUCCGCGCUCUUUCUUCCUCCAAUAUUUUCUAAUAAAACUACCCAACUGUAUUUAGGAGGUUAAAAUAAAGGGGCUGAAUACAAAAUGUAUGCCACACUUUUCAGAUUUUUGAAAGUUGCAACAAACUUUAGAAAAUAUCCACCAUUUAAAACGCAUUGAGGUUGUCUGGUUGUAACUCGAAAUAACUUUGAAA